rnacentral:miRNA from 11 species
CAGUUUUGCUGUAUGUAUGUAUGUGUGUGUGUGUGUGUGUGUGUGUGUAUAUAUAUAUACACACACACACACACACACACACACACACACACACAC